rnacentral:ncRNA from 1 species
UGGUGGAGCAUAUGGUUUUAAUUCGAUGCAAAAUGAAGAACCUUACCAGAACUUGACAUGACGCGGAUCCUCUUGAAAGAGAGGGAUGCCCUCGGGAACCGGACACAAGUGGUGCAUGAUUGUCGCCAGCUCGGGUCGUAAGAUGUUAGGUUAAGUCAAUAGCGAGUGCAACUCUUUGUGUUUAGUUGCUAUAAGUUUGGAACCUUGAGUAGGCCAUCGGUGUUAAGCUGGAGGAAGGAGAGGAUGAGGCCAAGUUAUCAUGCCUCUUGUGUCCUGAGCGACACACGUGCAAUAAUGGGCAAGACAAAGGAUCACAAUAUAUGUUUUUUUACUCACAGUAAUAAAAUUUGAAAAGUGAAGGAGCAUGUAGUGUCA